UUUUUAAACCAAGUCUAUAUUUUUUUAUAAAAAAUUGAAACAUUUCUUAUCGAAUUAGGUGGUACUGAAACCAAAGCAUCAACUGGGGAUUGAGAUCUUUAAAGAUGACGUUAGAGUUCAAAAUAUCAGUUCCAACCCCAUAUGAAAAUAUAUCUUAAGGCAACUCAUUUAGACUUGAAACAAGACCAAAUGUCGUUAUACUUGAUGGAUCUUUGCCUCGUGGAAUACAAGAUGACUAAGUUCGCGCAUCUUUCUUGGCUACAGCUAUUUUGUACACUGCUCAGUGUAGUCUUCAUGGAUAUAAACAAUGGUCCAAGACUUCUUAAUGGCAUACAAACUACUAUGAAGAUCAGCUUAUAGAAUGCGUGAUGAUGAUCUUACAAUACCACUAAACGCCAGCAACCAGGAUAUUUAGGGUGGCUUACAUAUUUCGUUUCGUUACAGCUACUUGAGUUUAAUAGCUUAGGAAAUAACCUGGGAGCUUGCUAAUCUAGAGCUGCAAUAUUUUUUAUCUGCACUAAGAUCGAUUCAUUUGAUGUAUUCCACUAGAAUUAGGCUCCUUAUAAAAGAUUCGCCAUUGUACUUUUCAUCUUUCCUAAUACCACUCUGUUAUACUUUUAAUUUA